AACGCGAAGAACCUUACCUGGGCUCGAAAUGUACCGGAAUCCGGCAGAAACGUCGGCGUCUAGCAAUAGACCGGUAUAUAGGUGCUGCAUGGCUGUCGUCAGCUCGUGUCGUGAGAUGUUGGGUUAAGUCCCGCAACGAGCGCAACCCUUAUCUUCAGUUGCUACCAUUUAGUUGAGCACUCUGACGAAACCGCCUCGGAUAACGGGGAGGAAGGUGGGGAUGACGUCAAGUCCUCAUGGCCUUUAUGUCCAGGGCUACACACGUGCUACAAUGGCCGGUACAAACCGCUGCAAACCCGCGAGGGGGAGCUAAUCGGAAAAAGCCGGCCUCAGUUCGGAUUGGAGUCUGCAACUCGACUCCAUGAAGCUGGAAUCGCUAGUAAUCGUGGAUCAGCAUGCCACGGUGAAUACGUUCCCGGGCCUUGUA
rnacentral:rRNA from 1 species